rnacentral:rRNA from 1 species
CCUACGUGUGGCAGCAGUGAGGAAUAUUGGUCAAUGUGCGGGAGCCUGAACCAGCCAUUCCGCGUGACAGCGAGUGCCCUACGGGCGUUAAACUUCUUUUGUGCGGGAGCAAUAAGGGCCACGCGUGUCCCGAUGAGAGUACCGCACGACUAAGCAUCGUCUAACUCCGUGCCAGCAGCCGCGGUAAUACGGGGGAUGCGAGCGUUAUCCUGAUUUAUUGGGUUUAAAGGGUGCGUAGGCGGCGCUGCAGGUCAGCGGUGAAAUACCGGUGCUCAACCCCGGGGCUGCCGUUGAACCCGGAGCGCGAGAAUUCCGAUGCCGUCGGAGGAAUGUGUGGUGUAGCGGUGAAAUGCAUAGAGAUCACACAGAACACCGAUUGCGAAGGCAUCUGACGAAUCGGAGAUUGACGCUGAUGCACGAAAGCGUGGGUAUCGAACAGGAUUAGAUACCCUUGUAGUC